CUCAGAACUCCAGUCUCCUGAAAAUAGACAACAAGGAAGAACUGAAUUUCUUGAACCAACUUCCUAUUUAUUUCUGGAUUGGACUCUAUCGUCAUGAAAAUAAUGGUUUUUGGCAGUGGACAGAUGGCUCAGCGCUUUCCUCUAAACUGUUGAGCUUUAAAGAUACAAGUACCCCUGGGAACUGUGUAGCUUUUCAUCCCCGAAGUUCAGGAUCCGUACAAAAUUGUUCAACAGUCUGGAGCUAUAUCUGUGAAUUCACAAGAUAUUAAUCCUUUUCUUGAGAAUCCUUGAAAAUGAGGCUCUCA